AUUUAACAGGUAAGACCUUCUACAGGAAGAUAGUGGAGAAAAAUUUCUCUAUCAGCUGAGACAGCCUGGCAGGAUGAUGUGACCAGAAGGCAGAGAAGCAGGGUGCAUUAGUUACCAUGUCCAUGAUUGCUUGGAUCCUGGACUCCAUCUCUGUGCUGCUCCACCUUGUUCAACUUACUGCUGAGGGACUAACCGGAAGCUUUGGCCCUGAUGUACCUGUGCAUCUUACCCGAGAAAAGGAUCCUGAUACACGCUUCUUUUGAACUACAGAUGCAGAAAAGUUAAAUAUCCUCAAAUCUAACCACUGGGCUCUGGCAACUGUCUCUACAUGCAAAUAUCUGUCUGUAUUAGAACCUACACUCAGGAGAGUUUUAGCUCCUGGGACUAUUGACUUCAUCUCUUUCAUUAGAACAUCUGGCAUCACCAUGUCACUCUCAUGAGAAAAGACAGGGAUGGCAGGCUGUGCAAAAUUUCUCUCUGAUGCCUGUGGUAUUAUUUCUCUUAGCCUCUCAGCAGGAGUCAGAGAAGUUGUGGCAGAUAUUCUAGGAAAUAUGGUUAAGGCUGGCUUUUUUUCUCUCCAUGA